UGCCCGGUGGUGUAAUUGGCAACACAUCUGACUCUGGAUCAGAGUAGUCCAGGUUCGAGUCCUGGCCGGGCAG
rnacentral:tRNA from 2 species